UCCCUGAUGGUUCAGAAGUUAAAGCGUCUGCCUCCAAUGCGGGAGACCCGGGUUCGAUCCCUGGGUUGGGAA
rfam:Ovis aries breed Texel chromosome 2, whole genome shotgun sequence.